AGGUCCUGUUUGCCCAAUAUGAGGCCACCCCAGUACAGUAAAGAUUUCUCAGUUGUUGUGGUGGGAAAAAUAGGAGGAGGAAGGAGUACAGGGUGGCAUAUUACUCUUUCUUCCAUGAUUGUCCCUUCAACAACAACAGCAGGUGCAGCAUCUUCAUGGUCAUGUGAUCAAAAUUUGGACGUUUAGCAACUGACUUGUAUGUCCCGGGGUCGUGUGAUCAUCUUUUAUGACCUUCUGACAAGCAAAGUUGAUAGGGAAGCCAGAUUCACUUUACAACUGUGGUACAAACUUAAUGACAGCGGUGAUUUACUUAACAAGAAAGGUCAUAAAAUGAGAAACAAAUGGAGCAAAUGAUAAUCUGGAAAAGAAGAGAAUGUUUUAGUGUUGCCUAGAACAUUCUAUCCCUGGAAUGAAGAAUUUUGCACAUCCCUAAUGCUGAUCCAUCUUUGGGAUGGCCUGAGCAGCUAAAUCCAGUUCACCCUAGCAAAAUAAAGUUCAAAAUGAAUCAUAAUUUAAGAAUAUUGUGUUCUUCUGUCAGUUAGAACAUAGUAAACCUAUGGCAUUAAUGUAUUAAAAAUCAGCAUCAUCUUGUACAG